UUCUCAAACGUUGGUGGGGUCAGGAACCAGUACGGGUGCAAUUUGAAAAUUGCAGUACGGGUCCCGGAUGUCAUCUCAGAGUCCUGAAGCCUCUGGGACAGUAUGAAAUUUUCAGGAAUAGGAUUGGAUAAACUGCACUUAUGGAAACUGGUUAGCUCACAUCUGGUUCAGAAUAACCCCAACAGCACAGGUAGACUUGUCACCCGCCCCUAAAAGUGGAAGGCAAUGGUAAAACCACUACUGACAAAAAACUGCCAAGAAAAUGGUUUAGGAUGAAGCAUCAGCAGACAAUGAUCCAAGGACCUGCCUUCAAGCAGAGCAUACACAAAUGAAUGAAUGAAUAAAUGGAAAAGGAACGCUUGUUGUUGCAUAUUGUGUGUGCAUAUAUAUGUAUAAUGUGUCUUUCUUACUUAUGGUGAAGCAAGGAUGAGUUCGGGAGUGUUAUAUCAUUUCAUACCAUAUUGUAUCCAGCUAAGGUGAAGCUUUACCCAAUGAUGGAAACAAAAUCCAAUUGUUGUUGAGUAAACAAAGGUUCAGGACA